rnacentral:rRNA from 1 species
GAUGAACGCUGGCGGCGUGCCUAAUACAUGCAAGUCGAGCGAACGGACGAGAAGCUUGCUUCUCUGAUGUUAGCGGCGGACGGGUGAGUAACACGUGGAUAACCUACCUAUAAGACUGGGAUAACUUCGGGAAACCGGAGCUAAUACCGGAUGAUAUUUUGAACCGCAUGGUUCAAAAGUGAAAGACGGUCUUGCUGUCACUUAUAGAUGGAUCCGCGCUGCAUUAGCUAGUUGGUAAGGUAACGGCUUACCAAGGCAACGAUGCAUAGCCGACCUGAGAGGGUGAUCGGCCACACUGGAACUGAGACACGGUCCAGACUCCUACGGGAGGCAGCAGUAGGGAAUCUUCCGCAAUGGGCGAAAGCCUGACGGAGCAACGCCGCGUGAGUGAUGAAGGUCUUCGGAUCGUANAACUCUGUUAUUAGGGAAGAACAUAUGUGUAAGUAACUGUGCACAUCUUGACGGUACCUAAUCAGAAAGCCACGGCUAACUACGUGCCAGCAGCCGCGGUAAUACGUAGGUGGGCAGCGUUAUCCGGAAUUAUUGGGCGUAAAGCGCGCGUAGGCGGUUUUUUAGUCUGAUGUGAAAGCCCACGGCUCAACCGUGGAGGGUCAUUGGAAACUGGAAAACUUGAGUGCAGAAGAGGAAAGUGGAAUUCCAUGUGUAGCGGUGAAAUGCGCAGAGAUAUGGAGGAACACCAGUGGCGAAGGCGACUUUCUGGUCUGUAACUGACGCUGAUGUGCGAAAGCGUGGGGAUCAAACAGGAUUAGAUACCCUGGUAGUCCACGCCGUAAACGAUGAGUGCUAAGUGUUAGGGGGUUUCCGCCCCUUAGUGCUGCAGCUAACGCAUUAAGCACUCCGCCUGGGGAGUACGACCGCAAGGUUGAAACUCAAAGGAAUUGACGGGGACCCGCACAAGCGGUGGAGCAUGUGGUUUAAUUCGAAGCAACGCGAAGAACCUUACCAAAUCUUGACAUCCUUUGACAACUCUAGAGAUAGAGCCUUCCCCUUCGGGGGGGACAAAGUGACAGGUGGUGCAUGGUUGUCGUCAGCUCGUGUCGUGAGAUGUUGGGUUAAGUCCCGCAACGAGCGCAACCCUUAAGCUUAGUUGCCAUCAUUAAGUUGGGCACUCUAAGUUGACUGCCGGUGACAAACCGGAGGAAGGUGGGGAUGACGUCAAAUCAUCAUGCCCCUUAUGAUUUGGGCUACACACGUGCUACAAUGGACAAUACAAAGGGCAGCGAAACCGCGAGGUCAAGCAAAUCCCAUAAAGUUGUUCUCAGUUCGGAUUGUAGUCUGCAACUCGACUACAUGAAGCUGGAAUCGCUAGUAAUCGUAGAUCAGCAUGCUACGGUGAAUACGUUCCCGGGUCU